GCCGCAGCAGACCUCCCGUUCAUCGGCAACACACUCGCACUCUUUGACGUCGUCAAAUUCGCCUUUCUUCUGCGAGUCAAAGUCCCGGUAGCCUCCGAGUCACCCAUGAUGACAAAAAACCUCCACUAUAAACCGACUGCAGCCUGUGCAGCGUGAUUCCACCGAGGAGACAUCUCAGCCGCAAAGAUGCAACAAUUUGAUGCAAUAUGCAGCCUUUUCUGUCAGCCUGUUCUACAAACCAGUAGAGGGAGUCCAAGUCUUGAAUGCUGUUCCUACCUUGUGGUGGAGAUGACUAGAAUGGAAGUGCUUAGAAAGAACAGACCUGGAGCUCACCCAGAGACAGACGCACACACUCGGCUUUUCUGCCCCGAAACCACGAAACAGGCACACAGCAACAACUUCAUCUGAAUACCCUUAAGAUGUUUAGACUGCAGUGCAAAGCUGCAAUGAGUGGCAAUACUCAGUUACAUGUAAGUUCAGAGAUAUUCCCAGUGGUUUUGUUUCGCAACUUUUGUACCCAUCGCACUGUAAUCAAGUGCUAUAACAAGUGUGUUGUUACUGUCUUCACUCUCAUUCAAACUGCAAUAAAAAGAUUUCAGUCAGGGUUUGCAAAUGUGGUCUCUUAGCCAUACUGAUGCUUUUAAUUUGUGUCUUUUAGCCCUCGUGUUUCCCCCCACAUAAUUUCAUGUUGUUAUCUAUUUUGUAUGUAUGGUUGUUGUUGUGAGUAUUUUGGCCAAGGCUUAAACACCACACAUUAAAAAGACAAAGACUAAAAUUUAAGCCCUAACAAGUGGAAGCUCAAUGACCAGUCGUCAACAAAAUUCAAAUAACUGCAGCUCAAAUCUGGUUCGCACAUCAUGGAGAGAGAUAAGACUUGCAGUUUGCUGACUCACAUACUGAUUGCUUCUUUCUUAUUGACUUGUGAGCCACAUUUUCCAGACAGAAUUUGUAAAAAACUAAAAGAUUGUACUGUCUGCAAAACCUUUAUUACAAAUGUUGACUAUUUAACCCCAGAACACUGUCAGAUCCGACUGCCUUUGAGAGGCCUUGAUGUCGCACAGGUCCUAUCACUUUAUCUCUGAGAUGUGGAUGAAAUUAGAUAAUGGCUCCAUGCACAGUACAGUCUUUUUUGUCCCUAUAACCCUCAAUGAUGUUGGAUAUCAGUCAGCCCCAUCUUGAACUGAGUUAUCUCAUGCCUGAGGAAGCAGUACAAUUAUCAAAAUUUCCUUUGUCAAAGAUUCAAAUCUGAAUAUUAAGCCCAUCUCAUA